GUACAUAUAUAGCUAGCAACAAACGUCGAGAGACAGUACAUAUGCAGGCAGACAGUUUGGUGUGGAUCUCGGCCUACUGUACUGACGAACAAAAGCUAUCUGAAACGAGAACAAGCAAAGCUCCCCUGCGUUCAGCAUAUCAAUCUAUCUACCUAUCAAUCAAUCAGGAGUUACGUCACACGUACGGCAGUGUCAAGAAGCGUCCAGAGUUCCAGUUCAGCUCGU
rnacentral:lncRNA from 7 species